ensembl:lincRNA
CACAUAUAUUGCCUUCCUAGUGAUAAUAGAAGGCUUUCAGAAAUAGAACUGGUCACUGUCCCUGGCACACAAUGAGGGUCCAAAAAGAUUACAAUUUCAUCAUUACAUUUGUUUUACAGAAAACCACACCCAUCCGCUCACAAGCUGACCUGAAGAAAUUGCCCUUAGAAGUGACUACCAGACCUUCCACUGAAGUAAAGCCCAGGGACAUAAGGGAGGCGGGGCUCUUCUGGUGUCUUAAGCAAGGAUCAAUGUUCCCACUGUCUGUGGGUUUUUUUAGGAACCUGUGAGGAGACCUCAGCGUCCUCGGUCACCUCCUUUACCUGCAGUGAUCAAGAAUGCUCCUAGCAGACCCCCUUCUAUUCAAACUCCCAGACCAACUAGCCAACUCCGAAAGGCUUCGGUUAUCAGCAGCUCCCCAAAGCUGCCUGCUCCAGCAGCCAGAGGAGAAAUGAGUACUUCUAGACUGCUCCAGCCAGCUGAGGCACCCCGAAAGCCUGCAAACCCUCCCAUCAAGACUACACCCCGACCUACCCCUCCUGUGCAGCCUUCGCCACCCUCUCUACUCCCCAACUCCAAGAACCUUCGGGAGGUCCCUGCUCAAAAAGCCAUCAAGUCUCCAGUGGUCAAGAAGCCAGAGCCACCUGUUAAACAUUCUAUGGCAACCUCAGGUCGGAAGCGGAGUCUUGCAGUCUCUGAUGAGGAAGAGGCUGAAGAAGAAGCUGAGAAGAGGAAAGAGAGAUGCAAACGGGGCAAGUUUGCAGUGAAGGAGGAAAAGAAGGAAGCAAGUGAGCUCUCAGACAGUGCUGGGGAAGAUGACCCAGCUGAAUUCAAGAAGGCUCAGAAAGAUAAAGGAUUGCAUGUAGAGGUACGUGUGAACCGGGAGUGGUACACAGGUCGUGUCACAGCUGUAGAGAUGGGCAAGAAUGUGGUUCGGUGGAAAGUGAAGUUUGACUACGUGCCCACAGACACAACACCAAGAGACCGCUGGGUGGAGAAAGGCAGUGAAGAUGUACGACUGAUGAAGCCACCUUCUCCAGAGCAUCAGAGUCCUGACACGCAGCAAGAAGGUGGAGAGGAGGAAGAGGAGGAGGAGGAGGCUGUGGUGGCCCAGCAGGCUGUGGCCUUGCCAGAGCCCUCUACUUCUGAUGGUCUCCCCAUUGAGCCUGACACCACUGCCCCAAGUACCAACCAUGAGACUAUUGACCUCCUGGUCCAGAUUCUUCGGAACUGCUUGCGAUAUUUCUUGCCUCCGAGUUUCCCCAUCUCCAAGAAGGAGCUGAGUGCUAUGAAUUCAGAAGAACUAAUAUCUUUUCCUCUGAAAGAGUACUUCAAGCAGUAUGAGGUGGGGCUCCAGAACCUGUGCCAUUCCUACCAAAGCCGUGCUGACUCACGGGCAAAAGCCUCAGAAGAGAGCUUGCGCACUUCUGAGAAAAAGCUUCGUGAGACAGAAGAGAAGUUACAGAAAUUGAGGACCAACAUUGUAGCACUCCUGCAGAAAGUACAGGAGGACAUAGACAUCAACACAGAUGACGAGCUGGAUGCCUACAUUGAGGACCUCAUCACCAAAGGGGACUGAGGAGCUUGGAGGCAGAUAACUCCUCUGCACACCUGCCUCUCAGCACAGCAGCUUCUGGGGAGGGGGAUUUCAUUA